rnacentral:lncRNA from 9 species
CCGCCCUCCAACGGGAUUCCCCGUCCCGAUGCCCGCCCCCGCCGCUCCUCCUCCGGGACACACUGCGCUCCCCGCAGCAGACACGGUCCUCGCCCGGGACUCUGUCGCCCCGUCGACCCCGUUCCCUCAGCCCUCGGAACCAGGAGUGGGCGCCCCGCUAACCCCGGCCAGAUGGGUCUUUGUCCUAUAAAUUCGUGGAAAAACCAUUGGCACGUGGUCAGCUACUGGACCUUCGAAAAACAGUACCAGCACCUCUGCCCCACUCGGCCCAGCCCCACCCGCAGGCAGUUAAUAGGAGAAAGGAGUAACUGUGUCCCUCCUGGCUUUCGGUUGUGCAUCUUGCUCUUAAAUCCGAGGCCUCUGGGGCUGAAUGAAACUGGACAAAGUGUGCUGAGUAGCCUAACAGGGAUGGUUCUUUUUCUGAAAGUUCCCUAUUGCGGAAAAAUAAAAUUAUGUGUUUAAUUUAUGAAACCUGAUGCCUGAUUUGCCUUGGCAGCCAUUCUCCUGGGCUUGGCCAAGAGUCCAGCAACACUAGUAUACUGAUUAAUACCAGCUCAGCUUUCUGGAGAAGAGCAUUAUUUACUUGACCAUUUUCUUAAAUCCCUUUUAAUUUGGGUGUAUCUUAACAUGAUCUUAUUGGCUUUAACAUGCUGUAUCUCUGACCACUGGCCCCAGAGAAGCCUCAGGGAAAACUCUUCUGCUCUGUGCACUUGCCUCGCCAUCACAAAGCAAGAUUUUGUUCCAUCCGGUGAUUAGAAACGGCAUGUCACGUGCUCUGUUCCUUCUGGGACAGGCAAGUUCUAAGUGUACUUUUGUCCCCUGCUGGUCCUCAGGCCACUAGUAGAAAGGGAAGGAGACGAUGCUUCCCAGAAUUCAAACGGAGCUUUCUGCAAGAUUCCAUCCUCCCUUCCAGCUUUCCUCCUCCCCUCCUCCCUUCCAGCCCCCUUUGGAUGGUGACACCUCGGCUCAUUCCGCCCCUCCCUUGAAAAGCCCACAGGAUAUCAAAUAGCGUUUCUCUGAGGGGACACAAAGGACCGAGGAAAGGUUGGGCCCCAGACAGUCCCUGACAGGGAAGUGUAAACACAGCUGCGGAGAUGGCAGAAAGCACCCUCCCUCCUCCCCCAUUUCCCACCCAGAAGCAGGGAAGGGCCACCCUGCUGUGGAGAAACAAACAAGAAAACAAAGCAAAGCACAACCUAAAAGCCUGCAUGAAGGUCACCAGGAACUGGGGCUGCUGCCCAGGCCUUGGUGGGGCCAGCUUGCGUGCCAGGCCCCUCCCUGAAACACUUCGAGGCAAAGGCAGCUCCAGAGCAAGUUAAGGUCUGGACACCACUGAGCCUGGAAACAUGGCCCAAUUUUGGAAGCCUCUCCACCCCCGGACAUUGUGUCCUCUGAUCUCAAAAUCCCAGCUUUCCGCCUCAGGUACUUAGCUCCUGACCCCUGGUUGCUUAGGGAUCAUAAUAAUGCAUUCAAUUCAGCAAGCAAGAACAGGCCCACAAUAAACCCUUGUCCGUGGCUGUUAGAAGUUUAAACUCUGAGCCUCCAAGCCAAAACAUUGGCCUCCUUAGUCUUUGUUGAUUACAAAAUAAAUAAGUCCAGCAGGAAGGGACUUUCUCUUGAGGGGGAUUACUUGGGCGGGUGGGAUUCAGGCUUCGCUUUGCGCACAUUCUGAAAGCUCCAACCUCAUGGCUAGGGUGGCACUGCCCGUUCUCAGCUCUCUUGGCACAAUUAAUGCUGGGCCUCGAUCCCACAGGGCGCGCCUUUGGCACGGCCCCGCCUGGGAAGUAGCCCUGAUCAGCUAGACAGCUAACGAGCUGUGCUUCCUUCCUGGCCAGCAGGGUCCUCCACGGUAGAACUGCAGGACUAGAAAAAGCAAUAAUAACCUUCAAAUACGGGCCACUCAGUAUGUGCCUGGCGUUGUGCGAAGUGCUUUGCAAUGAUGGGUCGUCUCCUUCCAUUCGAACUCAGCCAUAGCCUUACAUGCGUUUUGCAGCUGAGGAAGCCAGAGCUUAAAGAGAUUCUGGAACUUGGAGUUCCCCUCGUGGCUCAGUGGUGAACGAUUCUGACUAGCAUCCAUGAAGACGCAGGUUCAAUCCCUAGCCUUGCUCAGUGGGCUAAGGAUCUGGCGUUGCUGUGAGCUGUGGCGUAGGUUGCCGUCUUGGCUAGCAUCCCAUGUUGUUGAGGCUGUAGCCGUGGCAUAAGCCGGCGGCUAAAGCUCCUAUUCCACCCCUAGUCUGGGAACCUCCACAUGCUGUGAGUACAGCCCUAAAAAAGCAAAAAAAAAAAAAAAAAAAAGAGACAGAGAUUCUGGAACUUGCCCAAGGUCACCCAGCUGGUAAAUGGUGUGGCCAGGAUUGGGGCCCCGUUGUUCUGACUCCAAACCUGUACUCUGAACGACUCCACUCUACCUCCACUUUUCCUCUGAGGUCUAGCUCUGAAUCACGAGUUUGUUUCCUCCACUGUUGUCUCCUCUCACCAGUGGAAUCAGAAAGCGAAAUGGAUUUGAGACUCUUCUCUGCAAAUUCAGGAGAAAACAGUUCCUGAAAGGCAAGGGUCUCCUCACUUGCUCUGUACUGGAGAUGCCAGUCAUAGCUGGACACUGGACAGACCCCAUAUCAGCACAGCACAGCCUGUGUGGAAGACAAACAAAUCCUAGCCAGACAGGAAAGGGGAGUGCCCCUUGGCUCUGAGACUUCCCCUUCUUUCUUUCCUGGCUUAUCAACAGAGUCCCAUGCUUCUGAAACUAUGGCCCUUUGAACCUCACUGCAGCUAGGAUGGGAUACAAGGCUGUGGGGACUCUCUAGGGGAAAGAAAAGGACAACACAUAAGUCUAUAGAUGACAUCCAUGGGAAGGAAUAAAUCUAAAUCGCAUUUAUUUUUAUAUUUCACUCAUUGCCUUUAGCAUUCACAUAAUCACUAGAUAUUGGACCGGAUGUGAACGUACAUCAUCUCAUGCAAGAUACCCGGGGGGCAGGUAUUGUUAUCCCCAAUUUACAGAGAACAUUGAGGCUCAGGGAGAUUGACAACACUGGUAAAGUCGGAGGACUGGAAUUUGAACCGAGGCUAGGAUUAUCUGACUCCAAAAUCUGUAUUCUUUUCAAUACAGAGUGGCAUGUAAUGAAAAAAAAAAGAAAGAAAGAAACUGGAAGGAUCCCAGAAUACCUUGGACCUAGAGUUUCAUAACUCUAUAUAGUACAUAUUAUGAUAGUAACUACCGUUUAUCUCAGGCUUACUAGUGCCAGGCAUGGGGCCAGAUGUUUUAACAUGCCUCAUCUCUACUGCUCAGUGAGAUACACACCAGAAACCCCAUUUUUGUAGAUAAGGAAACAAGCUCAAAGGAGUUAAGUAACUUGCACGAGGUCAUAUACAACCAAAUAAGCAAUGGUGCUGGCCUAC